UACGUAGGGGGCAAGCGUUGUCCGGAUUUAUUGGGCGUAAAGAGCGUGUAGGCGGCCUUACAGGUCAGCUGUGAAAACUCGAGGCUCAACCUCGAGACGUCGGUUGAAACCGUAUGGCUAGAGUCCGGAAGAGGAGAGUGGAAUUCCCGGUGUAGCGGUGAAAUGCGCAGAUAUCGGGAAGAACACCAGUGGCGAAGGCGACUUUCUGGCCUGUUCUUGACGCUGAGGCGCGAAAGCUAGGGGAGCAAACGGG
rnacentral:rRNA from 1 species